AUCGAACGCUGGCGGCAGGCCUAACACAUGCAAGUCGAGCGGAGCGGCGGACGGGUGAGUAAUGCCUAGGAAUCUGCCUGGUAGUGGGGUAUAACGUCCGGAAACGGGCGCUAAUAUCGCAUACUAUCAGAUGAGCCUAGGUCGGGUUAGUUAGUUGGUGGGGUAAAGGCCUACCAAGGCGGCGAUCCGUAACUGGUCUGAGAGGAUGAUCAGUCACACUGGAACUGAGACACGGUCCAGACUCCUACGGGAGGCAGCAGUGGAGAAUCUUGGGCAAUGGGCGAAAGCCUGAUCCAGCCAUGCCGCGUGUGUGAAGAAGGUCUUCGGAUUGUAAAGCACUGUAAGUUGGGAGGCGUUACCAACAGAAUAAGCACCGGCUAACUUCGUGCCAGCCGCCGCGGUAAUAC
rnacentral:rRNA from 1 species